CGCGAAGAACCUUACCUACUCUUGACAUCCAGAGAACUUUCCAGAGAUGGAUUGGUGCCUUCGGGAACUCUGAGACAGGUGCUGCAUGGCUGUCGUCAGCUCGUGUUGUGAAAUGUUGGGUUAAGUCCCGCAACGAGCGCAACCCUUAUCCUUGUUUGCCAGCGAGUAAUGUCGGGAACUCCAGGGAGACUGCCGGUGAUAAACCGGAGGAAGGUGGGGACGACGUCAAGUCAUCAUGGCCCUUACGAGUAGGGCUACACACGUGCUACAAUGGCGCAUACAGAGGGCAGCCAACUUGCGAAAGUGAGCGAAUCCCAAAAAGUGCGUCGUAGUCCGGAUUGGAGUCUGCAACUCGACUCCAUGAAGUCG
rnacentral:rRNA from 1 species